GAUGAACGCUGGCGGCGUGCCUAACACAUGCAAGUCGAGCGAGAAAUUUAUUGAACAAGUUUUCGGAUGAGUAAUAUAAAUGGAAAGCGGCGGACGGGUGAGUAACGCGUAGGCAACCUGCCCCAUACAGAGGGAUAGCCUCGAGAAAUCGGGAUUAAAACCUCAUACUGCCAGAGAAUCACAUGGUUUUUUGGUGAAAGAUUUAUCGGUAUGGGAUGGGCCUGCGUCUGAUUAGCUAGUUGGUGAGGUAACGGCUCACCAAGGCCGCGAUCAGUAGCAGAACUGAGAGGUUCAUCUGCCACAUUGGAACUGAGACACGGUCCAAACUCCUACGGGAGGCAGCAGUGAGGAAUAUUGCACAAUGGGGGAAACCCUGAUGCAGCGACGCCGCGUGAGCGAAGAAGUAUUUCGGUAUGUAAAGCUCUAUCAGCAGGGAAGAUAAUGACGGUACCUGACUAAGAAGCCCCGGCUAACUACGUGCCAGCCGCCGCAGUAA
rnacentral:rRNA from 1 species